UUAUAACGGAAUUGGGUCCGUCAACCUGACGAUUCUGGAAUACGAAGACUGUAGCAGUACCAUCAGUACAACCCUCUGCCGCAAGAUCGGCAGACAGAAAAGAUGAAUUCGCCAAUAUUUUAGCGUGCCAUAAUUAUGGUUGGCUUAUCUUCUCGCGCUACGCCUCGACCUAAUUAUGUCAUGGGUUGAGCGCCACCCCUUAUGGGAGACUUUCAAAAUACUUUGCCUUGACCUGUUAUGAGAUCCGCACAAGAAGGAAGAAUCUUCAGAUGCUAAAGUUUGCGACAAGAGCACUUUUUGACUCGAACGGGAGGUCGAUGCACUCCAGUUCGGCAGUCAGAGAUUGCAAAUUCUUAAGAAAUGCUUCGGCUAAACUCGCGCAAUUAUUGCAAUUGUGAUGCUGCCCGAGUUCUAGAGGACCGAAGCCUGUUCUAAUUGCACCUUUACUGAGGGUUCUGGAACUUCGACUCGGUCACUUUUACCCUGAUCGUGGAGGAAGCAGGAGUGGUCGAAGGACCGUUUUGGAAUCGUUUUGUGAGGUAGCUUAAAGUCGUGGAAGUGUCUCAGUGGCAGAGGUUAAUCCUGCAAUUUAUUUUAGAUCUCGCGGCUAGGUAGUAGGAGUAGGGUAGUGGCGAAUCAGGUGGAAACCCUGACACUCCAGGUGGCAACCGGCAUCAUCCGUAGCAGAACGACCACUCCAACCGACAACCCAGCGCUUCUGGACUCCGUCAAGGGGUCAAAGUUCCGGGGUGAACCCCCAAGCAGCUCGUCCGUCAACACACGAGCUGGGCGGCGUCCAUCAACACACGCCGCGGUCGAACCCUCGACAACCAACCGACCGGACCGGGACGGCCUCGUGGAGGCCUAGGUCCACCGCCAAGUUCCCGCGCGCACCCGCGCCGUCGUCGCAACCGACGCUUUCAUCGCAGCAUCCUAGCUGCACACCUGUGCGCCCCCGCACACCGGAAGUGAUGCCGAACGCACGCCGAUAGUGCCAACCCGUCUGCUGUUAGCCGCCGGCGGAACCAUCUCGCCGUAGCCGAAGCUGUAAGCGCGCCACCACCUGAUCGCCGGAUUGCCAACCCACACACGUAAAUCCAUGGUCGUGUAAGUACAAACCCUUUUUCGACAUGCGCAUGAUCGAUCGUUGGCCAGUGCUUUUUCCGCCAACCCCGUGGGCAACAUAAGCCACCCCCUUAUUAUGUUGCGUGAUCGCAAAACCCCCCAGUGAAGUAUAUUAUAGCGAUCCCCGAAUGAAUUUCGCCCCCCAAGCCAACGCACACUACUAGCCAAGCAGUGCACUGCAAAUGAACAGGUAGAGAGACAGAAAAACUCGAGUGGUACCGAGGUACUGUGUAGGACUAGUAUGCUAAAGAUCUGCGGAUCGAAUCUCGUAGGGCCCGAAGUAUUUUUUUGUAUUGAAUAAAUUAUGCGAACCUGAAUAUACGAUUUUUAUGAGUUUCUGGAGUAAA
rnacentral:lncRNA from 1 species